rnacentral:rRNA from 1 species
UACGGAGGGUGCUAGCGUUGUUCGGAAUUACUGGGCGUAAAGAGCACGUAGGCGGCGCGGCCAGUCAGAGGUGAAAGCCCCGGGCUCAACCUGGGAAUUGCCUUUGAUACUGCCGUGCUAGAGUCCAUCAGAGGGUGGCGGAAUACCCAGUGUAGAGGUGAAAUUCGUAGAUAUUGGGUAGAACACCAGUGGCGAAGGCGGCCACCUGGGAUGGUACUGACGCUGAGGUGCGAAAGCGUGGGGAGCAAACAGG